AAUUAUAGGGUAUUUUGUUGAAAUUGAACAAAUUAGAGGGAGCAAAAACACCAACUAGUACUUUCUCGGAAAUCUCCUAAAUUGAAAUGAAAAUUAGGUCAAAACCUCAGGAGAAUGUUAAGCAAUCAUUCUGUCCUUAUCAGAAAGCAGCACUCUCUCUCUCUCUCUCGUAAAAACCCCAACCCCUAACUCUUCCACUGAAAAUUAGACCAAAUUCAGAAGUAAUGUCUGACUAUUUUCCAAAGGAUAUCAUACAGGAAAUCCUCCAGAGGUUGCCCGCCAAGUGUUUGAUCAAAUGCACCUUAGUGUGCAAGCCAUGGAGGUCUCUGAUUCAAAGCCCUAGCUUCAUCCACAGCCACCUCCGCCGCACAAUCCAUUCCAACAACCAGAACGCAGCCGUUGGCCUCCUUCUGCUGAGGGCUUUUGCCGGCCACGAUAAUUGUACGCUUGACUCGUUGCAUUGGGAUUACUCUGAAACCGGUGAGCAUUCCAAGCUUGUAAAUCCUUACCCUUACAUUAAACAAGCUAUUUUCUCCCCAAGUGAAAGAGUUGUAGUUCGGGACUUCCAUGUGGUAGGAGCUUGUAAUGGGCUCGUAUGCCUUGCUGUUGACUUUGCCUAUGUUGGUUCCCACACAAUCAUUUGGAACCCUUCUGUUAGAAAGUUUGUAACUUUGCCUAGGCGUUGUGUUUCACUGAGCAAGACUGGUCAGCAUAGAGCAAGCUAUGCUUUUGGGUAUGAUUCGCGCACCAAUGACUAUAAAGUUUUGAGAAGUACGAGUAAUAGGUACGGGAAAACCCCGUGUGAGGUUGAGAUUUGGUCGUUACUCAGGGCCUCCUGGAAGAGUCUUAGUGCUGCUGUUGUUCCAGAAGAUUUCAUGUUUGGAGUUUAUAAUAAUCGUAAUGUUGUUCCUGGGAAUGUUGGGCCUGUAGAUAAACAUGCUUUUGUCAAUGGUUCUCUUCACUGGGUUCAACGCCGUACUGUAGGGGAGGACAAAUUCAUUUUGUGGUUUCAUAUGGGCAGUGAAUUAUUUGGAGAGAUAAUGAUGCCUGAAGGUUUGACAAGAGAGCGUUGCUUUGUUUUAAGGUACGAGGAGUCCCUUGCCUUGUUAGAUAGUGAAGAACUACAGGGAAAUUGUUCUAAAUUCGACAUUUGGGUGAUGAAAGAGCAUGGUGUGGUGGAAUCGUGGACUAAAUUAUUCACCGUACACCUGCACCGCCGUAUGUUGGAGCCAUUUUGUUUUACAAGGAGCGGUGAACUAGUGUUCAAAAUGGGUGGUAGUGGUCGACGGCUGCUAAAGGUGGAUCUUAAGACCGAAGAAUUUAAAUAUUUUGGAAUUGAUGGAUAUACGUGUCACUUCAUGGAUUCUUUUGUGGAGAGCCUUGUCUUACUUGGCCAAGCCAAUGCUAUUUCUUACUGAGGAGCCAGCAAGAAGUAAGAACAGGGUAGAUAAGGUUUUAUAAAAGUUUGCUUACGUAUUUUCUGUGAGAGGAGAAGAAGGAUCACUUGAUUGGCUAGAAUUGAGGCUAUUUGAUCUUUCAACUGGAGGGGACGGAUGCUUUAUGGAUUCUUUUGUAGAUAUCCUUGUCUUACUUGGCCAAGCCAAUGAUAGUUCUUACUGAGGAGUGGGAAAUAGGAACCAAGCACAGGUACUGGAAACUAUUUGUAAAGAAGGGGAGGGCCGACGACAAUUGAAAGAGAUGCAAAGCUCCUUGCUCUGCAAUCUGGGGGAAUAUUUCCUUAGUGGAAGAACCUCAAUAGACUGGUCAGGAUUGUCAGGAGGAGGCACUGGCCGGAUGGAGCUCGCGUCAACAAGCUCAGUAAGUAGCUUGUUUGGGUCAUCGUCAGAGGCCAGAUUCUCGUACUGCACCAGAGGCUUGUUCAUUUUCUUCUUCGUUGAGGGAUUUAAGGGUUGUGGGUUAAGGAUUUUGGCUGGGAACCAUGCAUUUUUGUAACCCUCUUCGUUGCUACAAACUUCCACCUUCGAAUCCUUGCUCAGAUGGGCUUCGCUCCUCACCAUCACUUUCUUGUUUUCGCUCACUUUCUUUCUCCAGAGAAAGACACACUACUACUAUAUUUACUAGUGUUUUAGCAGCAGAGCGGUCAAAUUGUACGACUCUCCCUCUCUCUCUCUCUUCAAAUUGUGCCUUUAUCUUAUCUCUGGUGAAAUGAAACAACUAAUGGUAAAAUUUGAACCAUAUAUUAUAUAUUUUUUUGUCUGAAUUUAAACGAUUUGUCGGUCAAUCAAGUUUCCUUGGAAGCCACAGGACUGAGAGAGUUAUUGUUGGCUUGGAUGUUUUGGUUAUCCGGAAGAUAUACCUAAAAACCCAAAGAUAUACCUUUAUACCCAAAAACCCAAAGGUAUACCUUUAUACCCAAAGAUAUACCCAAAAACCCAAAGGUGGAAGUUUGUAGCAAAAAAGAGGGUUACAAAAUUGCAUGGUUCCCAGCCAAAAUCCUUGACCCACAACCCUUAAAUCCCUCAACGAAGAAGAAAAUGAACAAGCCUCUGGUGCAGUAUGAGAAUCUGGCCUCUGACGAUGACCCAAACAAGAUACUUACUGAGUUUGUUGACGCGAGCUCCAUCCGGCCAGUGCCGCCUCCUGACAAUCCUGACCAGCCCUUAGAGCAAAGCUCCUCCCUUUUUUGUUUGUGUUUGUUGUUUGAAACUAUGACUGUUCUUUUUA